rnacentral:rRNA from 1 species
AGGAUGAACGCUGGCGGCGUGCCUAACACAUGCAAGUCGAACGUCCUGUCUCGCAAGAGGCAGGGAGUGGCGGACGGGUGAGUACCACGUGGGUCAUCUACCGUGAGGUGAGGAAUACCGGCGAGAAAUCGCCGACAAGACCGCAUAGGCUCGAUGCAAGUCGAGCAAAGCUCUUUCGAGAGAGGGAGCGCCACACGAGGAGCCUGCGCCCGAUUAGCUAGCUGGUGGAGUAACGGUUCACCAGGGCGACGAUCGGUAGCUGGUCUGAGAGGACGAUCAGCCACACUGGGAUUGAGAACGGCCCAGACUCCUACGGGGGCAGCAGUGAGGAAUUUUCGUCAAUGGGGGCAACCCUGAACGAGCAACGCCGCGUGCAGGAGAAGGUUUCGGAUCGUAAACUGCUUUUCUCGGGGAAGAGAAUGGACGGUACCCGAGGAAUCAGCCCCGGCUAACUACGCGCCGAGCAGCCGCGGU